rnacentral:rRNA from 1 species
CCUACGGGAGGCAGCAGUGAGGAAUAUUGGUCAAUGGUCGGGAGACUGAACCAGCCAAGCCGCGUGAGGGAUGAAGGUACAGAGUAUCGUAAACCUCUUUUGUCAGGGAACAAAGGCGGGGUCGCGUCCCCGGAUGAGUGUACCUGAAGAAAAAGCAUCGCCAAACUCCGUGCCAGCAGCCCCGGUAAUACGGAGGAUGCGAGCGUUAUCCGGAUUUAUUGGGGUUAAAGGGUGCGCAGGGGGUCUGUAAAGUCGGCGGUCAACGCCCGGGGUUAAACCCCGGACCGCCGUUGAAACUGGCAGUCUCGAGUUGGAGAGAAGUAUGAGGAAUGCGCGGUGUAGCGGUGAAAUGCAUAGAUA